rnacentral:tRNA from 1 species
GGGUACAUAGCUCAAUGGUAGAGUAAUUGAUUGCAGAUCAAUUUGUUACUGGUUCGAAUCCGGUUGUACCUU